GUUCCGGUAGUUUAAUGGAUAAAAUAAGGGCCUCCUAAGCUCUGGCUCCGGGUUCGAUUCCCGGUCGGAACA
rnacentral:tRNA from 1 species